rnacentral:rRNA from 1 species
AUUGAACGCUGGCGGCAGGCCUAACACAUGCAAGUCGAGCGAGUGGCGGACGGGUGAGUAAUGUCUGGGAAACUGCCUGAUGGAGGGGGAUAACUACUGGAAACGGUAGCUAAUACCGCAUACCAUCAGAUGUGCCCAGAUGGGAUUAGCUAGUAGGUGGGGUAAUGGCUCCCCUAGGCGACGAUGCAUAGCUGAGCUGAGAGGGUGAGCAGCCACAAUGGUACUGAGACACGGUCCAGACUCCUACGGGAGGCAGCAGUGGGGAAUAUUCGGCAAUGGGCGCAAGCCUGACCGAGCAAUGCCGCGUGAGUGAAGAAGGCCUUCGGGUUGUAAAGCACUGUCAGCGGGGAGGCGUUACCUGCAGAAGAAGCACCGGCUAACUCCGUGCCAGCAGCCGCGGUAAUAC